UGGUAGCUCAUUUCAUGCUCAAGAAACUGCUGUGAGUGGGCAAUUGGAGAGUCGAGUGUGGGUUGUUGAGAUCAUCUGCACUUUGGUCAGGAAAUUAUCUCCUAAUCCUAAUAGUGCUGCUAUAAUGGCCAUGGGUGUUAACAUCUUGGCAAAGAGAUUGAAAUGGUAAGCUAAUCCAUAUUGCAUUUUUUUUUUAUACUUUUGGGUAUAAACUUAUAUAUGGCUCUUUCCACCAGCACGUUUCUUAUGAGAAGAUUUUGUAUUCUUCUCUGUAUCAAUUUGUAUGCUGACUUGAAAAGUAAAAUAAAAAAAUUGUAUAAUUGUGUAAUGACCUCUAUCGUUAUGCUUUUUUUUUCUUUCUUUUUCAACUGUCCUUUGUUUAUUGAUAUUUAUUUUAUUCUUCACUUUAUGCCAUCUGAAAUUUGUACUUAUUUUGUUAAUUUAGUUAUGCAUUGCUUACAUUGAUACCAUUUUGGUAAAUAUGCAGGAAGGAUGCUUUCUCUUCAAUCUUGUGAUAUUUGUGAUUGUAGAGUUAUUUUGACUGGAUUUGGAUUGGGGUUCUUGAUUGAGUUUCUAUCCCAU